UGCGUGCCGCCGUUGAUCCGGUGCUGCAGUGAGGUGGUUGUCGCCCGUGUUGUGUGUGUGUGAGUGUGUGUGAGUGAGUGAGGGAGGGAGCGAGUGAGUGAGUGAGUGUGUGCGUGGGGGCACUCGGCUUGUUGUUGUCGGUGACUUCCCCCUUCCCUCCACCCCUCCCCUCCCCGGCCGCCGCUGCAGUGGCCGCUCCCUGGGCCGUAGGAAAUGAGCGAUAACGAUGACAUCGAGGUGGAGAGCGACGAAGAGCAACCGAGGUUUCAAUCUGCGGCUGACAAACGGGCUCACCAUAAUGCACUGGAACGAAAACGUAGGGACCACAUCAAAGACAGCUUUCACAGUUUGCGGGACUCGGUUCCAUCACUCCAAGGAGAGAAGGCAUCCCGGGCCCAAAUCUUAGACAAGGCAACAGAGUAUAUCCAGUAUAUGCGAAGGAAAAACCACACGCACCAGCAAGACAUUGAUGACCUCAAGCGGCAGAAUGCUCUUCUGGAGCAGCAAGUCCGUGCACUGGAGAAGGCAAGGUCAAGUGCCCAACUGCAGACCAACUACCCCUCCUCAGACAACAGCCUCUACACCAACGCCAAGGGCGGCACCAUCUCUGCCUUCGAUGGGGGUUCAGACUCCAGCUCAGAGUCCGAGCCUGAAGAGCCCCAGAGCAGGAAGAAACUCCGGAUGGAGGCCAGCUAAGCCAUGCGGGGCAGGCCAGCAAUAAAAACUGUCGUCUCCACCACCUCGUCCUCUCAGUUCAUCGUUAGAACUCGCAAACCAUUGACAGACUCUUUAGUUUCCUCUCUCUUUAUUAAUUGUUAUUUUUGCAUAGAAGCUCUUGGACAACAGCUCUCAUCCCCUCCCUGUGUCCACUAUUUUUAAAUGUGUUCCCUUCAGGGGUUCCUGUCCCCAUCAGAAAUUUUAAACCAAAACACCCUAACUUGGCAGCUCUUUCUGUGGAGGACAGACAGCCGGCCAGACCUCUGAGUACAUGGUGUCCUGCCCACCCCACCCCACCCCCAACUCCUCCUGCCUUCAGAGCGUGUGCCUGGAGGGCAUCUGCAUCUGCCCCACUAGGCCCCUUCCAGUCCUCUCACCUCUGUUUGGUGGAAUUUGUGACUCUGAACUGCUCUACUUUGGCAAGAUGACCAGAUUGGAGUAAUCAGAAUUACCCCUCUCCUCUGUAAGGAUUGAUUUUUGGAAACGCUAUCUAUCGCUCCUGUUGAAAGACCAGAUUCUUGAAGAAGUUUGUGGUGAAAAGGAAAAGCAGGGACAGAUUUGCAGAAUCCUUGGCAUGUUUCACGCUUCAGUUGUUUAAGCCGGCAGAGCCAGCCUUUCAGAAGGCCACGUGACACUGGCAAGGACAAAGAAACCACAACUCCACAGUGGCUGAGGCUCACAUAAGCUACCCAGAUGGAGAAACCUUGUCUGAUGGGGGAGCUGGGGGAGCCAUGCGCUCCUCUAGUCGGUGGUCGGAUCUGAGGUCAACUUGUCUUCACAUUCCUCAAAGCCUGGGACUGGCUUCUGCAGAAAGUGUGUGGUGGCCUGGAUCACCUUGUCGGGCCCAAUGUUGUAGACGGGGUGAGUGGGCUGCUGCAAAGAGAAGAGACGUGGAUUCGUCACCAGUGACUCUUGGUUGGCUGGAAUUCACCCAAUGAACUUAGACUAAAGGAGCACGAGUGAUACUCAGGGCCUUAUUCCAGGCCCAAAUGUGCAAAGACCGGUAUCUGCUGGAAACAUUUCAUAGUACACACCACAAGGGAACAUAGCACAGCCACUUAACUUAAAGAUGGACUUUCAAUGUCACAGGCAGUGCUCGUGCUUAUCUGAAACACACCUUGGAGUUUGCUGGACUUUGGAACAUCCACAUUGACUUUACCUGUUACGUGCAGCACCUCACACGCUGAGUGUGUGUCCACCUCUAAGCUAUGUCUCUUGCUCCAAAACCUUUUCUUAAAUAAGCAUCAUAAUUUGUUUAUUACUAAAUUUGUUUUCAAUUAGCAGACAGAGUACUAAGUUUGUUAUAGCGUUUUCUUCGUUUCAUUCUGUUUUUAAGAGGCUGGCUAGCCCAGGCUGGCCUCACAUUUGCUGUGUAAGCUGGGCUUGAACUCGUGAUCUUUCUGCUUUCAGCUGUAGUGCCACAGGUGUGCACUACACUGGCUUUCAUGGUGACAUUUUCAUGUAUACUUUAUGAUUUCCAUCUUGGCCCCCACUUCUGCUGGUCCCCCAACUCUCCCCAAAUAGUGGCCCCUUUGGAUCUCAUGGUACAUACAUCACACCGCCCUUCUUACUUCCCUUAAUACCUCUAACAUAGAAAGGCUGCAUUUUCUCUCAUACGGAGCCCAGAUCAAAAGUGAAAGAGGAAAGGAGAGAGGGGUGAGGAACACUCUAACUUUUAACAGCUAAAGUUCAUACAUGAACGCGCUGUAUGCUGAUCAUAUGCCCCCCCCAGUAUUCCCACCUUCCCUCUUAGCACCCCUCCCCCACCUGUUAAUCCCCUUUGUCCCCAUAACUUGAUGUCUAGUUUCAUGUCAUAGACACAUGCAUGUUGGAUGUGUCUGUAUGCAGCCUAGGACCCUUCCUGAGACUGAUCCAUUCACUUACUGUGUUUCCAGCUGCAACCAUCAUCUUGCAAACGACAGGACUUUAUUCUUCAUGGAAUGAAGAGCCCAUCUUUCUGACAGGAUGUGCCCUCCCCAUGCUGCAAUUACAGGUGCACACACAGCUUCCGGCUCCAAACUCUGAGUGCCACCAUGACACUCGAAAGCUGUAGCUUUUCAAGCAUUUUUGGAUUUAAAUGAGCAAAGCACUGCACAAAAGCAUCUGGAAGCUCCUUUUGUUUCUUAUGGUUUUUGUUUUUUGUUUUGAGACAGGGUUUCUCUGUAGCUUUGGAGCCUGUUCUAGAACUAGCUCUUGUCAACCAGGCUGGCCUUGAACUCACAGAGAUCUGCCUGCCUCUGCCUCCUGAGUGCUAGGAUUAAACGUGUGUGCUACCACUGCCUGGCCUGAAAGUUCCUUUCAAAACAUGCUUACAGCUAUGACAGAGAGAGCAGGGGCUGGCCAGCACUGGGCAUCCACCAAGACAGCCUUCACUCUUUUUAUACUUGUGAAUGUUUCAGUUAUUAAAACGGUGAACAUCUAUCUGUGUUCAUAGUUAAGAAUAAAGAACACAGCUCUUUCUGAGGGUGAGAGUGUCAGGUCCUAUUUCAAUUCUUUUACGUUAUUUCCCUACAUCACAGAAAAACUUCAAGUCUGAGCAGGACGGGACUUUAGAGCAGUAUUCGGGCCCUCUCUGGGAGAGUGAGGAGGAGGGGAUACAGCUGCAGAAGAUUUUUGCUUUCUUUAUACCCACACACCCAUCCUGUGUUUGGGGAGGGUCAGAAGACAGCAUGUGGUCGGUGGAGUUGGUUUUCUCCUAUUGUAUAGGUUCCAGAGUGAGCUCAGGUUAUGAGGCCUGGCAGCAAGCACCCUCACCUGCUGCACCAUCCUGCCAGCCCCUCAUUUAUUUAGACAAGGUCUCAUGUAUCCUAGGCUGGGCUCCAUCUAAAAGGACUGCAGCUAAGAAUGAGUGGAUUUCUGAUCUCCUGCCUCCACCUCUCAAGUGCUGGAUGCCACCAUGCUUGGUUUACACAGUACAGAGGGACCUAGGGUUUCCUGCGUGUUAGGAGAACACUCAGCAGCUAAGCGACAGGCCUAGCCCUCCACCUGUACAAAAUCUCCACGAGACAAAGAGAGGGAAGCUGGACAUUGCAGUGAACACCUUUAACCCUAGCAUUCGGGAGAUAAAGCAGGUGGAUCUCUGUAAGUUCAAGAGUUCUAGGCCAGCCAGCAGCACUGCAGAGUGAGACCCUGUCUAAACGGGGGAAGGGGCAGAGGCAGGAAGCUACCCAUGGAAUUUCAUGAGGUCAGUACAUUUUAAAACACAAAUUGAAAAACAGAUUAUAAUAAAAAUUAUAAUAAAAAAUUCCUAUCAAUCUUAAAAACGUUUUUCUAUUUUGGUGUGUGUGGUGCAGGGCACAUACAUGCUAUAGCGUUCAGAUGGUGGUCAGAAGACAAUGUGCAGGAAUCAAUUUUCCCUUUCCAAUGUGGGUUCCAGGGACUGAGCUCAGGUAAUCAGCCUUGUGUGGCAACCCACCGAGCCAUCCCACUGGCCCUCACGUGUGUCUAAGAAAGAUUUGGAGCUGACCUUGACUGAGGGGCUGAGGAGAUGGCUCAGCUAGUAAAAUACCUACUUUGAAAACACAAGCGACUGAGUUUGAUCUCCGGUUCCACGUGAAAAGCCACGUGUGGUUGGUGCAUUAACAAUCCCCGUACCAGGGAGGCAGACAGGAAGAUCCCUGGGGCUCUUACUGAUUGGCUAGCCACUCUGGCCCAAUAGGCAAGACCCCAGUCCCAAUGAGGUGCUCAAGUCCAAAAACAAGGCGUUCAGCUCCUGAGGAAUGACAGCUGAGUUUGCCCUCUGGCCUCCACGUGCACCUGCACACGGGCUCCACCAGAGGCUGAACCAGGUGUAGACGAUGUAGCCUGUAAUCCCAACUACCCAAGGAGGCAGGGGCAAGGAAGCUGAUACGAGUUCAAGGCCAGCCUGGUCUACAGUGUGAACUGCUCCAGAGUGGCACAGCGGCACCUGAAAAAUGAUUUUUCAGCUGGCUGUCCUCUAUUUGCACUUCAGCUUGAAACAUUCCCCAGUGCAAACAAAGGAAAGACGCAGAAGUUAGGUGGAAAAGUGAGGCUCGGUGUUUAUAUGUGUUGGAGGCAGAGCGUCACAAUCUGGGUGGCCGUGACAGGUGGCUCUGUGGAUGAUCUCCGCUGCAUUUGUUUCUUGGGCUCAUGUCUAAGCACAGAGUGUCGCCUUCUGCCAGGCUGCUGGAGCACGGGUCAUGGUAGGCAGUAUCCUGCUCUUUUCUUGUGGUGCUGGGGGCGGAGCUCACGGCUCUUCAGACUCAUCUCUGCAUGGACCCAAGCCAUGAGCUACAUGCCCAGCCUCAGACUGCCACCAUACGGGGGGCGGGGGACAUACACACGUGAGGACCCAAGCCGUGAGCUACAUGCCUAGCCUCAGACUGCCACCAUACGGGGGAGGAAUACACACCAAGCACCCACCAGCCAUUUGUUGCUGACUCCAGUCCCAGGAAGGUAAAUUCCCAGCAACCUUGACUCAGUGACCCCCACCCAAAAAUGUACAGCCAUGACUAUCAACUUGUUCUGAUAUAACGACCUGCUGUUUUGCUUCUGUAAUUUGCUUAUGCAGAUACCCAAAGAUUGUUCUUAGUUGCCGUAAUCAUUUUGUUUGGCAGAACGGAACAGGUUUUACUUGCUUGCAUAGAUAAGGAAAGUCUUCACUUGGUUUUCCUCUUUAAAAGUCCGUCCCCACACCCUUCCUUCACAGCAAUCUCAAAUUUGGCUCAGAGAUUCCUCCUGC